rfam:Octopus bimaculoides Scaffold1791_contig_79, whole genome shotgun sequence.
GACCUACGGCAGUACAUAUUCUAAAAUUGAAACCGUACAGAGAAGAUUAGCAUGACCCUUGCGCAAGGAUGACACGCAAAUUCGUGAAGCAUUGCAUAUUUAA